rnacentral:snoRNA from 1 species
AGGACUAUACUUUCAGGGAUCAUUUCUAUGGCUCAUGACAAGAGAGGCGUCUCUGAAUGUGUAGGUCUCCUAAGGCCAAGAGGAAGAGGCACGGCGUUCUCUCCUGAGCGUGAGGCCGGCUCUAUUCGCUCUUGAUGAUCAUUCUUCUCUUUCAUUUUGGUGGAGUAAGAGGGAGAGAACGCAAUCUGGGUGAC